CCAGAGCAAUAACACAGCCUCCUGGCGCGCCGCUCUGGGCCGCAAUCUAAAGUCUGUCCAGGUCCAAGAUUGGAGCAAUCGAAACACGGCGUUCCAUUCUUGGGCUCCCCAUCCUGGACAUUGCUACCCUCAGGACCAUCAUUAAGGAACAUGGAACUGGAUGUGUGUAUAUGUGUAUCCAAGAAACAAGAAUUGCAAAGAUUUUAACGAUCACCAACAGUAUUGGGACUGCUAAUUGAAGAGGAACUGACAUCAAGCCAAAAAAAAAUUAAAGUCGGUCACCAAUAGGAGUUGAGGUAU